rnacentral:lncRNA from 1 species
CAGAAUAAUUACAUAGUAAACGAUUAGUUCAACUGAACUAGAAUUGUUUGUACAUGUAUGUGCGCUCUAAACGAGCAUAAUACUUGCAACUGGAAUAUAAGCAAUUUUCAGUCAAAAGUUGAUUUAUAUGUUACAGGUUAAAUUUGCAAUAACAACCGGCAUUGCACCAACUAAUACUAAUAAAUGACCACUUCAUCAACUGUGUCCCCCAUUAUAGAAUUGCCGUAAACGUUAUUGAUUUUAUUCAUGUAUAAGCGCUAAAAGACGCGAGACGUCCUGGUGUUUAAUAGUGGACACGUUUUGGCGAAUAACAAUUAUCGGACACGUUUUGGGGUUAUAAAAUCAGACACGUUUAGGGAAUAUUGGAUAUUACGGACACGUUUCGGGAGAAUAGACACGUUUGGGGGAAUCGGACACGUUUGGGGGACAGGACACGUUUGGGAGUGUUACAUAUAUAAAAG